GAUGAACGCUGGCGGCGUGCCUAAUACAUGCAAGUCGAGCGAACAGACGAGGAGCUUGCUCCUCUGACGUUAGCGGCGGACGGGUGAGUAACACGUGGAUAACCUACCUAUAAGACUGGGAUAACUUCGGGAAACCGGAGCUAAUACCGGAUAAGAUAUUGAACCGCAGGGUUCAAUAGUGAAAGACGGUUUUGCUGUCACUUAUAGAUGGAUCCGCGCCGCAUUAGCUAGUUGGUAAGGUAACGGCUUACCAAGGCAACGAUGCGUAGCCGACCUGAGAGGGUGAUCGGCCACACUGGAACUGAGACACGGUCCAGACUCCUACGGGAGGCAGCAGUAGGGAAUCUUCCGCAAUGGGCGAAAGCCUGACGGAGCCACGCCGCGUGAGUGAUGAAGGUCUUCGGAUCGUAAAACUCUGUUAUUAGGGAAGAACAAAUGUGUAAGUAACUCUGCACGUCUUGACGGUACCUAAUCAGAAAGCCACGGCUAACUACGUG
rnacentral:rRNA from 1 species